GCGUGCCUUAAGCAUGCAAGUGGGACGGUUCUGUCCUGCGGAUAGUCGCGAACGGCUGAGUAACAUGUAAGAACCUACCCAGAGGUGGGGAAUACCCCCGCGAAAGCGGGGCUAAUACCGCAUACGCUGCGUAGCAGCGAACUUUCAACACGCUCACACUGUGAGCUUGUGGAGGGGCUUGCACACCAUCAGCUAGUUGGUAGGGUAAUGGCCUACCAAGGCUACGACGGUUAGGGGAGAUGAGAGUCUGUUCCCCCAGAAUGGGACUGAGACACGGCCCAUACACCUACGGGUGGCAGCAACUGGGAAUCGUGCGCAAUGGGCGAAAGCCUGACGCCGCGACGCCGCGUGUGGGAUGAAGGCCUUAGGGUUGUAAACCACUUUUGCCAAGUACCAUACGGCACUUGGCGAAUAAGCACCCGCUAACUACGUGCCAGCAGCUGCGGUAAUACGUAGGGUGCGAGCGUUACCCGGAUUUAUUGGGCGUAAAGAGUACGUAGGCGUUCUGGUAAGUCACAUUUUAAAGACUGAGGCUCAACCUCAGGAGUGGAUGUGAUACUGCCAGAAUCGAAGAACUUAGGGGCUACUGGAACUUAUCAUGUAGGGGUGAAAUCCGUUGAUAUGAUAAGGAACGCCAAGGGUGAAGACAGGUAGCUGGGAGUUUCUUGACGCUGAGGUACGAAAGCUAGGGGAGCGAAAGGGAUUAGAGACCCCUGUAGUCCUAGCCGUAAACUUAUGCUCGCUAGCCCUGUGCCAUAUGGCGCGGGGUGUAAGCUAACGCGUUAAGCGAGCCGCCUGGGGAGUACGGCCGCAAGGCUAAAACUCAAAGGAAUUGACGGGGACCUGCACAACCAGUGGAGCAUGUGGUUUAAUUCGAGACGAACCGAAGAACCUUACCCGGGUUUGACAUUCUACCGUUUUAGUUUUCCAGAAAUGGAGAGCGAUCCUUAAGAAAUUAAGGAAGGUAGAACAGGUGUUGCAUGGCUGUCGUCAGCUCGUGCCGUAGGGUGUUCCCUUCAGUGGGGUAACGAGCGCAACCCCUGUCCUGUGUUAAAUGUUCACAGGAGACUACCCUCCAUUCGGAGGGGGGAAGUGGGGACGACGUCAAGUCAGCAUGGCCCUUAUGUCCGGGGCGACACACAUGCUACAAUGGAGCCUAACAAUGGGUUGCCAAGCGGUAACGCGGAGCUAAUCCCAUCAAACGGCUUCUCAGUGGGGAUUGAGGGCUGAAACCCGCCCUCAUGAACGCGGAAUUGGUAGUAAUCGGAGAUCAGCCAAGCUCCGGUGAAUACGUUCUCAGGUCUUGUACACACCGCCCGUCAAGUCAGCAAAGUUGGGGGCACCCGAACUCUCCUUGUUGGAGGGGAAGGUGAAACCAGCGAU
rnacentral:rRNA from 1 species